rnacentral:rRNA from 1 species
GAUGAACGCUGGCGGCGUGCCUAAUACAUGCAAGUCGAGCGAACAGACGAGGAGCUUGCUCCUCUGACGUUAGCGGCGGACGAGUGAGUAACACGUGGAUAACCUACCUAUAAGACUGGGAUAACUUCGGGAAACCGGAGCUAAUACCGGAUAAUAUAUUGAACCGCAUGGUUCAAUAGUGAAAGACGGUUUUGCUGUCACUUAUAGAUGGAUCCGCGCCGCAUUAGCUAGUUGGUAAGGUAACGGCUUACCAAGGCAACGAUGCGUAGCCGACCUGAGAGGGUGAUCGGCCACACUGGAACUGAGACACGGUCCAGACUCCUACGGGAGGCAGCAGUAGGGAAUCUUCCGCAAUGGGCGAAAGCCUGACGGAGCAACGCCGCGUGAGUGAUGAAGGUCUUCGGAUCGUAAAACUCUGUUAUUAGGGAAGAACAAAUGUGUAAGUAACUAUGCACGUCUUAACGGUACCUAAUCAGAAAGCCACGGCUAACUACGUG